rnacentral:rRNA from 1 species
AUUGAACGCUGGCGGCAUGCCUUACACAUGCAAGUCGAACGGCAGCACGGGUGCUUGCCCCUGGUGGCGAGUGGCGAACGGGUGAGUAAUACAUCGGAACAUGUCCUGUAGUGGGGGAAAGCCCGGCAAAAGCCGGUUAAAUCCCCCAAACGAUGAAGGUGGAAAAGGGGGGGCCCUCGGGCCCCCGCCUCAAGGGGUGGCCCGAUGGCUGAUUAGCUAGUUGGUGGGGUAAAGGCCUACCAAGGCGACGAUCAGUAGCUGGUCUGAGAGGACGACCAGCCACACUGGGACUGAGACACGGCCCAGACUCCUACGGGAGGCAGCAGUGGGGAAUUUUGGACAAUGGGCGAAAGCCUGAUCCAGCAAUGCCGCGUGUGUGAAGAAGGCCUUCGGGUUGUAAAGCACUUUUGUCCGGAAAGAAAUCCUUGGCCCUAAUACGGUCGGGGGAUGACGGUACCGGAAGAAUAAGCACCGGCUAACUACGUG